rnacentral:rRNA from 1 species
AGUGAACGCUGGCGGUAGGCCUAACACAUGCAAGUCGAACGGCAGCACAGUAAGAGCUUGCUCUUACGGGUGGCGAGUGGCGGACGGGUGAGGAAUACAUCGGAAUCUACUUUUUCGUGGGGGAUAACGUAGGGAAACUUACGCUAAUACCGCAUACGGCCUACGGGUGAAAGCAGGGGAUCUUCGGACCUUGCGCGAUUGAAUGAGCCGAUGUCGGAUUAGCUAGUUGGCGGGGUAAAGGCACACCAAGGCGACGAUCCGUAGCUGGUCUGAGAGGAUGAUCAGCCACACUGGAACUGAGACACGGUCCAGACUCCUACGGGAGGCAGCAGUGGGGAAUAUUGGACAAUGGGCGCAAGCCUGAUCCAGCCAUACCGCGUGGGUGAAGAAGGCCUUCGGGUUGUAAAGCCCUUUUGUUGGGAAAGAAAAGCAGCAGGUUAAUACCCCGCUGUUCUGACGGUACCCAAAGAACAAGCACCGGCUAACUUCGUG